UUUGAUGGCGACCGGCGCACGGGUGAGUAACACGUAUCCAACCUGCCGAUGACUCGGGGAUAGCCUUUCGAAAGAAAGAUUAAUACCCGAUGGCAUAGUUCUUCCGCAUGGUGGAACUAUUAAAGAAUUUCGGUCAUCGAUGGGGAUGCGUUCCAUUAGGUUGUUGGCGGGGUAACGGCCCACCAAGCCUUCGAUGGAUAGGGGUUCUGAGAGGAAGGUCCCCCACAUUGGAACUGAGACACGGCCAAACUCCUACGGGAGGCAGCAUG
rnacentral:rRNA from 1 species